UUGUAGUUACUUAUAUAGGCCAGGUACUAUAUAUCUCAUAGUUUCGUUACUAAAGUACAUGUAACUAAAAAGAUGGAUGAUUGUCUACCAGAAUAUAACCGAAAUGAAAGACUUGAAGUAUUUAUAGAUAGAGUACUAUAUAGUACGGCCACCUCGUGAUUUUAUCCGACGAAUGAAUGAAGCGGUCAAAUGGGUGGUUUUACAUUUGCAUAACUACAAUUCGUGGCGAUUUCGGUACGGGUAUCCUUGUCACAAGGUACAAAAAGUUGUUAAGAGUGGAUCUUUGGGAAAGGGAACAUCAAUACAAACCAAUGCUGAUGCUGAUCUUUUUAUUUUCUUCAAUGAUUUUAAGACUAUAGAGAGUUUGAUAGAGGCUAAACCAGAUCUUCUUGAAAAUAUUAAAAAGUAUAUGAUGCGUACUGACGAACAACCAGAGUGGAUGAGAUCAAUAAAAUUUAUACGGAAAACAGAUUUUCAUGUUGAAUUCAAGAUCGACAUCAUAGACCUUGGAUCUGUGGAUGUUGAUAUUGUACCAGCUAUGGAUGUUAUUUCUCAACAUGAUGAUAUGAAUUCUCUGUACGAUGAGAUGAUGUCGAAAGACAAUCCAGAUAUCAGAGAUCAUUAUUCAGCAUGCCUUUGUGAAAAACAAAUCAAAUUAAUUGGUGUAAAGCCAGCUAAAGUUAAAGACCUUAUACGUUUGUUGAAAUAUUGGUACAAGAGUAACAACCUCGACUUGAAAUCAUAUUUCUGUGAAGUCAUUGGUUUGCAUGUUCAUCAAAAAUACUUGAACAACGUGAAUAACUUUAAAAUGAAGAAAGGGUUUGUCAAAGCACUUGAAUUAUUGGCUGACUUUAAGAAUCUAACCAUUAUUCCAGAUGGAUUUAGUCAGUGGUAGGGUUUAAAUACGAUGACUUGUCAAUUAUCUAUGUUGUUGAUUUGGUCAACCCGUUCUCAAAUACAGUUCCCAGGAAUGCGCAAAGAAAAAUAGAAGAUACUGCUAAUAAAACGAUACAUCAAAUUGCACAAUUUGCGAGUAAAACACACGAUAAUGUUGUUAAAGUCUGUCCUGAAUCAGCUAAAUAUGGUUAUCUUCAGAAUGAAUGUGUAGACCUUACAGAAUACGAGAACAAUGGUUUUUCUUUUUGUAAAUCACUAAUUAGUCUUGUGAUUAUUUUUCUGAUAGCAUUGUUUGCUUUGUAUUGGGCCAACUGUGAUGUCGGCUACAUUUGAGGAUCACAGUUUACCAAUGUAACCAAUUGAGUAAUCCAUAAGAUAUUAUCAGGUAAACAACCUAUAAAGCCCAAAACUGUCCAACUAUAGUCUCUUAUGGUCAGCACUCUUUUAGUUUCCAAGCACGUGUUUUAUAGAAUAAUCUACCAUUUAGUUUAAGAUGUUGUACAUCUCUAUAUUCUUUUAAAAAAAAUUCUUAAAAUAAAUUUAUUUUAUCGGGCUUUUAACUGACUCUGUAAACAACAUGGCCACAAUUGUGUUGUUUAUUUGUGAUUACAUUUAUGAACAUGUUAUAUGAAAGGGCGCACAAUAAAUAUGCUGUAAUAAUAAUAAUAAUAAAAUAAUAACUGUGGGUAUCCUACUAGAAACAUCAACACUGAUUGGUAUAGAUCUGUAUGUUAAUCAGAUUGAAAUAAUUGGUAAUCAGGUGAUAAAUUUAGCUGUGCGGAUUAGCAAAAAUCUUUGAAAAUCAAACGGGUUCUUCACAUAAUCCCUGUGUAACAAUUUCAAGAAAGAGAAUAAUGGGGUUUAAUAUUGACUAGACACAAACUAGGUCAUUAUGGCACUAACAUAUAGUUCAAUUUCAUUACUCGCGUGCACGUAGUGGUAUUUCCCUCCCUGUCGGAGGAAACCAGGCGACCCGGAGCACACGAGGUUGGACAGGCGACGCACAAGCGGGGAAUCGAAACAA